rnacentral:rRNA from 1 species
AUUGAACGCUGGCGGCAUGCCUUACACAUGCAAGUCGAACGGCAGCGGGGACUUCGGUCCGCCGGCGAGUGGCGAACGGGUGAGUAAUGUAUCGGAACGUACCAUUGAGUGGGGGAUAACGUAGCGAAAGUUACGCUAAUACCGCAUAUUCUCUCCGGAGGAAAGCAGGGGACCGCAAGGCCUUGCGCUCUUUGAGCGGCCGAUAUCAGAUUAGCUAGUUGGUGGGGUAAAAGCUCACCAAGGCGACGAUCUGUAGCGGGUCUGAGAGGAUGAUCCGCCACACUGGAACUGAGACACGGUCCAGACUCCUACGGGAGGCAGCAGUGGGGAAUUUUGGACAAUGGGGGCAACCCUGAUCCAGCCAUGCCGCGUGAGUGAAGAAGGCCUUCGGGUUGUAAAGCUCUUUCGGCCGGGAAAAAAUCGCAUGGGUUAAUACCCUGUGUGGAUGAUGGUACCGGAAUAAGAAGCACCGGCUAACUACGUGCCAGCCGCCGCCGUAA